UCUUCAGCUUCCAUAGGCAGGUUCUGCUUCCCUCAAACUUAGGAAAGGGCUUCAGAUGUGGAGCAGCCUAAAAGAAUGACACAUGCCCACUCUAAUUAGCUGGCCAAAUUAGUUCUACAGAAGAGAAGUACCAUGGGAUUUUGGAGCAGAAAGUGAUGAUUCUGAGGAGGCUUUAGAGGAGGGGAGAUUUGAUCAAGUCUUGAAGGAUGAGAAAGUUGGUAGGGUUGUAGGUAGGGAUAGGAGAAGGAUUUCGAGAGACACAUAUGGAAUGACAAUAUUAAGAAUGCUGAACUGGGGAAAACAAAUGCAAGCGCUGUGCUAGCAGGAAGGUCUGUGAUGUUUGCAGUAAAGCCAUUAUGAAGUCAAGAAUGGAGGUUCCAUUUUUAAAGAACUCAGAGGGGGUAGAUCUUGAUUGACAUCUCAUCUGGGGUCACCUGGUCUUCAACUGAGAGAUCUUUUGGUUCGCCACGGAUGCCCCUUGCAGUUAUGGAAGAAUCUCACCUUGUCACCCAGGCUGGAGUGCAAUGGCAUGAUCUCAGCUCACUGCAACCUCUGUUUCCCAGGCUCAAAUGAUUCUCCUGCCUCAGCCUCCUGAGUAGCUGGGAUUACAGGCGCCCAUGGACUACCAGCUUUUUAAGUGGACUUUUUAGCCAAAGGUCAAGGGAAACUACCCUCUUCCUAC
rnacentral:lncRNA from 1 species